GGGGAAUAUUGGGCAAUGGGCGCAAGCCUGACCCAGCAACGCCGCGUGAGGGAAGAAGGUCUUCGGAUUGUAAACCUCUGUCCUAUGUGACGAAGGAAGUGACGGUAGCAUAGGAGGAAGCCCCGGCUAACUACGUGCCAGCAGCCGCGGUAAUACGUAGGGGGCGAGCGUUGUCCGGAAUUACUGGGCGUAAAGGGUGCGUAGGUGGCACUUUAAGUUGGAUGUGAAAUCCCCGUGCUUAACAUGGGAGCUGCAUCCAAUACUGGAGAGCUAGAGUGCAGGAGAGGUAAGCGGAAUUCCUAGUGUAGCGGUGAAAUGCGUAGAUAUUAGGAGGAACACCAGUGGCGAAGGCGGCUUACUGGACUGUAACUGACACUGAGGCACGAAAGCGUGGGGAGCAAAC
rnacentral:rRNA from 1 species